rnacentral:lncRNA from 1 species
UUAUGGGCUAACCCUAGAGGGUAGCUAUGUAGAUGUCUUACAUGGGCCUAUUGGGCCCUAAUACACAUAGUACACCAACAGUACCGACGAAUUUGUGAUAAAUGUGUAUAUCAGACGAAUUUGUCGAGUGAAAAUCUGGAAUGAGGACCUGAGUUUUAGAUUCAUUUUGUCUGCACUUGUUAUCCAGAACUACCAGUAGAUAGUAAAUACUAGCUCCGG